UACGUAGGUGGCAAGCGUUGUCCGGAUUUACUGGGUGUAAAGAGCGCGCAGGCGGUCGUUCAAGUCGCGUGUGAAAGCCCCCGGCUCAACUGGGGAGGGUCACGCGAUACUGAUCGACUCGAAGGCAGGAGAGGGUAGUGGAAUUCCCGGUGUAGUGGUGAAAUGCGUAGAUAUCGGGAGGAACACCAGUGGCGAAGGCGACUACCUGGCCUGUUCUUGACGCUGAGGCGCGAAAGCUAGGGGAGCAAACGGG
rnacentral:rRNA from 1 species